rnacentral:rRNA from 1 species
GAGUGGCGAACGGGUGAGUAACACGUGGGUAACCUGCCCAUCAGAAGGGGAUAACACUUGGAAACAGGUGCUAAUACCGUAUAACAAUCGAAACCGCAUGGUUUUGAUUUGAAAGGCGCUUUCGGGUGUCGCUGAUGGAUGGACCCGCGGUGCAUUAGCUAGUUGGUGAGGUAACGGCUCACCAAGGCCACGAUGCAUAGCCGACCUGAGAGGGUGAUCGGCCACAUUGGGACUGAGACACGGCCCAAACUCCUACGGGAGGCAGCAGUAGGGAAUCUUCGGCAAUGGACGAAAGUCUGACCGAGCAACGCCGCGUGAGUGAAGAAGGUUUUCGGAUCGUAAAACUCUGUUGUUAGAGAAGAACAAGGAUGAGAGUAACUGUUCAUCCCUUGACGGUAUCUAACCAGAAAGCCACGGCUAACUACGUGCCAGCAGCCGCGGUAAUACGUAGGUGGCAAGCGUUGUCCGGAUUUAUUGGGCGUAAAGCGAGCGCAGGCGGUUUCUUAAGUCUGAUGUGAAAGCCCCCGGCUCAACCGGGGAGGGUCAUUGGAAACUGGGAGACUUGAGUGCAGAAGAGGAGAGUGGAAUUCCAUGUGUAGCGGUGAAAUGCGUAGAUAUAUGGAGGAACACCAGUGGCGAAGGCGGCUCUCUGGUCUGUAACUGACGCUGAGGCUCGAAAGCGUGGGGAGCAAACAGGAUUAGAUACCCUGGUAGUCCACGCCGUAAACGAUGAGUGCUAAGUGUUGGAGGGUUUCCGCCCUUCAGUGCUGCAGCUAACGCAUUAAGCACUCCGCCUGGGGAGUACGACCGCAAGGUUGAAACUCAAAGGAAUUGACGGGGGCCCGCACAAGCGGUGGAGCAUGUGGUUUAAUUCGAAGCAACGCGAAGAACCUUACCAGGUCUUGACAUCCUUUGACCACUCUAGAGAUAGAGCUUCCCCUUCGGGGGCAAAGUGACAGGUGGUGCAUGGUUGUCGUCAGCUCGUGUCGUGAGAUGUUGGGUUAAGUCCCGCAACGAGCGCAACCCUUAUUGUUAGUUGCCAUCAUUUAGUUGGGCACUCUAGCAAGACUGCCGGUGACAAACCGGAGGAAGGUGGGGAUGACGUCAAAUCAUCAUGCCCCUUAUGACCUGGGCUACACACGUGCUACAAUGGGAAGUACAACGAGU